rnacentral:rRNA from 1 species
UACGUAGGGCGCAAGCGUUAUCCGGAAUUAUUGGGCGUAAAGAGCUCGUAGGCGGUUUGUCGCGUCUGCCGUGAAAGUCCGGGGCUCAACUCCGGAUCUGCGGUGGGUACGGGCAGACUAGAGUGCAGUAGGGGAGACCGGAAUUCCUGGUGUAGCGGUGAAAUGCGCAGAUAUCAGGAGGAACACCGGCGGCGAAGGCGGGUCUCUGGGCCGUAACUGACACUGAGGAGCGAAAGCGUGGGGAGCGAACAGG